UAGAAACCAAAAUUUAAGUUACAUCAUAUCCUUAUGAUACAGUAAUAAAAGCAAUUGCAUGGGACUUUUUCUUGUAGCCCAAUGGUCUCACUCCUAGAUAUUUACUGAGAUAAAUGAAAAUAGAUUUUCAUUAAAUGGCCUGUGUAGAAAUGGUGGUCAAUAGGUAAAUGAAUAAACAACCUAUGGUAUAUUCAUACAGUGGAAUACUGUUUAACAAUAAUGAGAAUGACUAUGUGAUAUCUAUAACAACAUAAAUGAGUCUCAAAAAUAUGAUGUUACAUGAAAGAAGUCAGAAACAAAGGAGUACAUACCAUCUGAUCCCAUUGACUUGAAACUCUGGAACCAGUAAAAAUAAUCUCUAGAGAUGGAAAUCGGGCCAGGGUUGUCUAGGGCAGUGAGUAGAGGUGACUGA
rnacentral:lncRNA from 1 species